rnacentral:misc_RNA from 1 species
GGCUGAAGAACCACUUUAUUUGGAUGUGUUUGAAAAGUUUCCAGUGCAAAGUAAUGGAGAUGCACAGGAUUUCGAGGAGCAUUUGCGUCAAAUAUCUUCUAACUCGAGGAAAGAGAAAUCACCAGGUAAAGAUGUCGACACACCAGGUCUUGAUGAGGUUGAUAAGAUUAUUCUGCAAGCUACAUCACUUUUGAAGAAACAGAAGAGAUGAAAGUGGUUUAUUCGUUAGCUAAAGUUCCAACAGGGGUUUGUUAAAUGAGAGGCCUGUUAUAGUCAACAGCUGCAACACCUUAUUUUCACCGCUUCAGUCCUAAGAGUUCUAUAGACAUGGGGCGAGAAGGGAACCACCAUGAUGAACUAGUGUUAUACGAGAGCCCAGACACAUUGUGGUAGAGGAACACGCGGGCAAAGUUGUUUUGCUGAACAAAGACGAUUACAACAUUAGCAAUUUCAUUCUGGGGUUCCUGGACAAUAGGAUUAUUGUUAUCCAAGGGUUGAUUCUUCCCUAAUCCAGAGUGGAAGUUCACAAGUAUGAUCAGUCCUAAUCUGGUGCCACUUACAGAACUCUUCCCUUUACGAGUCUACACAAGAAAGAACUUACUCAUAUUUGAUAUUUACUUCGCGACUAUAGUAAAUUACAAUGGUUUGGUUAAAAACUGCAAACUUCAAACCCGUAAUCUAUGUAGUUGUUUCCCAG